rnacentral:rRNA from 1 species
UGGGGAAUAUUGCGCAAUGGGGGGAACCCUGACGCAGCCAUGCCGCGUGAAUGAAGAAGGCCUUAGGGUUGUAAAGUUCUUUCGGUAUUGAGGAAGGUUGAUGUGUUAAUAGCACAUCAAAUUGACGUUAAAUACAGAAGAAGCACUUGCUAACUCCGUGCCAGCAGCCGCGGUAAUACGGAGGGUGCGAGCGUUAAUCGGGAUAACUGGGCGUAAAGGGCACGCAGGCGGUUAUUUAAGUGAGGUGUGAAAGCCCCGGGCUUAACCUGGGAAUUGCAUUUCAGACUGGGUAACUAGAGUACUUUAGGGAGGGGUAGAAUUCCACGUGUAGCGGUGAAAUGCGUAGAGAUGUGGAGGAAUACCGAAGGCGAAGGCAGCCCCUUGGGGAUGUACUGACGCUCAUGUGCGAAAGCGUGGGGAGCAAACAGGAUUAGAUACCCUGGUAGUCCACGCUGUAAACGCUGUCGAUUUGGGGGUUGGGGUUUAACUCUGGCGCCCGUAGCUAACGUGAUAAAUCGACCGCCUGGGGAGUACGGCCGCAAGGUUA